AGCAGCCGCGGUAAUUCCAGCUCCAAUAGCGUAUAUUAAAGUUGUUGCAGUUAAAAAGCUCGUAGUUGAAUUUCGGAGUUUGUCGGUUGGUCGGGCUUCACUGUCCGCACUGGCCUGAUGGAUUCCUACCUUCUGAAUAACCAGCAUGCUAUUAAUUUAGUGCGUUGGGGAAGCAGAGCUAUUACCUUGAAAAAUUAGAGUGCUUAAAGCAGGCUUACGCUUGAAUAGAUUAGCAUGGAAUAAUAAAAUAGGACGGCUUGGUUCUAUUUUGUUGGUUUCUAGGAUCACCGUAAUGAUUAAUAGGGAUAGUUGGGGGCAUUAGUAUUCAAUUGUCAAAGGUGAAAUUCUUGGAUUUAUUGAAGACUAACUUCUGCGGAAGCAUUUGCCAAGGAUGUUUUCAUUAAUCAAGAACGAAAGUUAGGGGAUCGAAGACGAUCAGAUACCGUCGUAGUCUUAACCAUAAACUAUGCCGACUAGGGAUCGGACGAUGUUAAUUUUUAAUGACUCGUUCGGCGCCUUA
rnacentral:rRNA from 1 species